GUAUUGGCUUCGGUGGUACAUAUACUAAAAUUGGAACGGUACAGAGCAGAUUAGCAAUGCCAUUGCGCAAGGAUGACACGCAAAAUCGCGAAGCGUUCCACAUUUUC